GCCUUCGUGGUGUAGUCGUCAACAUGCUUGACACACAUUUGAGAGGUCCGUGGUUCGAUUCCUUGCGAGCGCA
rnacentral:tRNA from 1 species